UGCGGAUAUGUACAAUGAACUAAUCGUAAUCUUAUUGCAAAUGUUGAGAAUGAGUACUUCUCUAAUUGAUAUUUAAGUGAUCGAAAUUUUCAAUUGGUGAAAUACUGGCUAAUCUAUAUUUAUACGCACUUAUAACGACAACUUGAAAUCUUCUAGAAGUAUUGAUAUGCAAGAAGCACUUAUAAGGACAACUUUAAAUCUUCUAGAAGUAUUAGUAUGCAAGAAGAUUAAUAUGUAAAUUAUUAAAACGGUUUUAUAAAAGUUCAUUUAAAAUGAAUUGUCGGAUACCACGGAUGUUGAAAUAGGUA